rnacentral:lncRNA from 1 species
UCUAAACCCUAAACCCUAAACUCUAAACCCUAAACUCUAAACCCUAAAUCCUAAACGCUAAAUCCUAAACCCUAAACCCUAAACCCUAAACCCUAAACUCUAAACCCUAAACUCUAAACCCUAAACCCUAAACUCUAAACUCUAAACCCUAAAUCCUAAACCCCACCCUUUAACUCUAACCCCUAAGUUUGUGACUUUUGAUAAAACAUUAAGUGCUAUUUUUGUGACUUUUGAACUUGAGUGCUAGUUUGGGAACAAAAACUUGAUUUAG